rnacentral:rRNA from 1 species
UGGCGGACGGGUGAGUAACGCGUGGGUAACCUGCCUCACACAUGGGGAUAACAGUUGGAAACGGCUGCUAAUACCGCAUAAGCGCACAGUACCGCAUGGUACAUUGUGAAAAACUCCGGUGGUGUGAGAUGGACCCGCGUCUGAUUAGCUAGUUGGCAGGGCAACGGCCUACCAAGGCGACGAUCAGUAGCCGACCUGAUAGGGUGACCGGCCACAUUGGGACUGAGACACGGCCCAAACUCCUACGGGAGGCAGCAGUGGGGAAUAUUGCACAAUGGGGGAAACCCUGAUGCAGCGACGCCGCGUGAGCGAAGAAGUAUUUCGGUAUGUAAAGCUCUAUCAGCAGGGAAGAAGAAAUGACGGUACCUGACUAAGAAGCACCGGCUAAAUACGUGCCAGCAGCCGCGGUAAUACGUAUGGUGCAAGCGUUAUCCGGAUUUACUGGGUGUAAAGGGAGCGCAGGCGGAAGGCUAAGUCUGAUGUGAAAGCCCGGGGCUCAACCCCGGUACUGCAUUGGAAACUGGUCAUCUAGAGUGUCGGAGGGGUAAGUGGAAUUCCUAGUGUAGCGGUGAAAUGCGUAUAU